rnacentral:rRNA from 1 species
AUUGAACGCUGGCGGCAUGCUUUACACAUGCAAGUCGAACGGCAGCAUGACCUAGCUUGCUAGGUUGAUGGCGAGUGGCGAACGGGUGAGUAAUGCACCGGAACGUACCCAGUAAUGGGGGAUAACGCACCGAAAGGUGUGCUAAUACCGCAUACGCCCUGAGGGGGAAAGCGGGGGAUCGUAAGACCUCGCGUUAUUGGAGCGGCCGAUGCCGGAUUAGCUAGUUGGUGGGGUAAAGGCCUACCAAGGCGACGAUCCGUAGCUGGUCUGAGAGGACGACCAGCCACACUGGGACUGAGACACGGCCCAGACUCCUACGGGAGGCAGCAGUGGGGAAUUUUGGACAAUGG